GGCUUUAUAGUUUAUAUAAAAUAUUUGACUGCAAUUCAAAUGAAAUUUAGGUUGAGGCUU
rnacentral:tRNA from 1 species